GUAAUGGUACACUGACAGAUCUGUGAAAGCUCCACUGCAAAUUUAUCUACUUCUCCAAUGAAAAUUUGACCCAUAUAAUAGUCUGCUAACACAUGGCUCUUCAUUUAUGCUAAGGACUACUUGAGACUUUGAAGUACUAGUAGGUGUUAGUACAUGGUGUGCAGGUUAACUUUUUUAACAUGUAAAUGGUACAAGCAAGCAAUUAAUAUCCAAAUCAAUUGACUUGUUUCAGUGGCAUUUCUGUGCUUAACAACCAA
rnacentral:lncRNA from 1 species